rnacentral:rRNA from 1 species
UCAGUCGACUCCUACGGGGAGGCAGCAGUGGGGGAAUAUUGGACAAUGGGGGGGAACCCUGAUCCAGCCAUGCCGCGUGUGUGAAGAAGGCCUUAUGGUUGUAAAGCACUUUAAGCGAGGAGGAGGCUACUGAGACUAAUACUCUUGGAUAGUGGACGGUUACUCGCAGAAUAAGCACCGGCUAACUCUGUGCCAGCAGCCGCGGUAAUACAGAGGGUGCGAGCGUUAAUCGGAUUUACUGGGCGUAAAGCGUGCGUAGGCGGCGUUUUUAAGUUCGGAUGUGAAAUACCCCGAGCUUAACUUGGGUAAUUGCAUUCGAUACUGGGAAGCUAGAGUAUGGGAGAGGAUGGUAGAAUUCCAGGUGUAGCGGUGAAAUGCGUAGAGAUCUGGAGGAAUACCGAUGGCGAAGGCAGCCAUCUGGCCUAAUACUGACGCUGAGGUACGAAAGCAUGGGGAGCAAACAGGAUUAGAUACCCUGGUAG